ensembl:lncRNA
GUUCUCUUUCUGGAGAUCCCUCCUUGGUGAAGCUUUCCCCUGCAAACCUAGAGUCUUCUGAGACAGACUGCAACAACACAGGCACUGCUGGUGGCACCCUUCACUGCUCAAGAGGCACUCAAUGAGCAGAACUGAAUCAACUCAAGGCAAGCCAUCUUGAGGCCAAAACAAAAACUUGCCAGGACAAAGGAAAAAGCAAGUAGCUUUCCUCUCGCUAAUGCUGCAUUUCCUCUGCUUGGAGCUGGUUCAUUAAGCUGGAAAUUGGUCAAAGCAGGCUCCUCUGUUUGGAACAAAAUUAAUUAGUUUUGCGAGAGACAUCAGUGACAGGCCUCCCUAUCUAACUGCUCUAAAUCUCCAGGAGAGAGAGAUCUUUGUGAGUCCCUCACUGUAUUAUCAAAAAUCAACAUGUCUCAUCCCUGUCAAGACACAGAUGUGCCAAAAAUAUUGAAUGGAUCAGAGAAGCCAGAGCAGGCACCAGCCAGCCUGCUGUGGCUGCUUUUGUCCACUUUGAGUUAGACUGUUUUAUGCUAGACAACCUCUUGAGAAAGUGAAGAUAUGAGAACUAACAACCUUAUGCCUUUGCUAGAUGCUCAGAUGUUGUCAGUGUUCUGAAUCAUAUGGUAUAAAACAAUAAAAGAGCAGUUCCAGAAUGACUCUUAUGUCACUGAAAGUAAGCAAGUGGAAGAAGGAAAACAAACAAACAAACAAAAAAACAGAUGCUGUUACCAAACACAGCAGAGACAGAAAGUCACAGAAGAAUGCCAAGGGAAAUUUUCAAAGAAGAGGACAGGAAUACCCAUUCUUGACAUCUCUGACAGAUCAACUAUGUUACUUCACAAAAUGGUUGAUGUAUCGUCUUCUGAAGCCCUCACUCCUCAUUCUUGUCUUUCUUAUGGAGAGAGGCAGAAAGUGAACGAAGAUAGCACUAAACUCUUUCCCUGUAUUACUCAAACUAAUUAUUUUUUCCUGUGUAACAAGUUUAGCUUGUUAAAACCCCUCAUUUUCUGAAUACUACUCAAAAUAGCAGAAACUCUUUCCUUUAAGUGAUAUUUUUGCCUUGUGCAAUUCUUAAUGUUGUUUUUACCCAUUGUCAUAAUGCCUGUUUUUGUAUGGAUUUUAUGUGUUUGAGAUGCACAGUGAAAGCACAGCUGCUAAUUUGUUCUGGCAAUUUGGCUGGAAAUUGCCAGGUACUGAGCACUCCCAGACGUUUUAAUGGAAAGUUUCAGCUGGACGGUCUCCAGGGUGUGCUUAUUUUGUUUAAACUGGUUCAGUCAUUUCUCACAAUUUCUAAAGCUCCCAGCUUGUUACUUUUUCAAGUACAGAUUCAAAACCACAUCUCUCUCUUGUUAGUAUUUUUAUUAAAAAUACUUAGUUGUCAGAUU